ACCACCCUGUCAUUUCCAUCACCACACGCGUUUUUUAAAAAAUAUUUCAAAAGUUCUCAUCACAAAUUAAAACUUUACCCACAAUUUAUGAGAUCAUGCUCUACUUAAUUUAACAAUUCAAGUUAUUUAUUUUCUAAUAAGCUCUUACCCAAACCAAUAUUAAAUUUAAGAGUGUGACAGGUGAACAGUUCAGCAUUUGGUCCUCUUGGCAGUUCAUUUAUCUCGUUGACAAAUGUAUAAUUAUUGUACAUUGUGAAAAAAUUGUAAAACUACUCACAAAAAUGAUCUUAGACAAUUCUGGAGUGGCAUAAGUAAUUCUAUUUUUAAAUAACAACAGUAUAUUGAAAUGUGGUGGAAAUUACAUUUGUUCAUAGCAGGUCUGAAAAAAUGUAAAAUAUUAAAGAGCACCUAUUAUGAGAUACAUGUUUUUAAACAUCCUUUUGUGUGUAAGUGUGUAUUAGUACAUGCUAACGAUAUUCAAAAAGUACAUACCUGAACGAAAACGAUGACGCGAGUUAUCGUCUCUAACGUUCGAGGACUACAAAAAACACUCGGAUUGUAGGCAACAGUUUACUUCCUGGGAUUGGUGACGUAGAGAAGACCAACAUUAUCAUAGUUCAGCCCUCUCUGCUUUGCUUGGGUACGCCCUCAAAGACGGGGGUGGAGAGCGCUGAGUCAGAAGAGAGCUAAAAUGGCGGAGGUUGGGAGUCCCUGCUUUGACCCUGUUUGCAAACUCUUGUUUCAUUGUUUAAGCGAUUAAAUCUCUCGAGUAGACGCUGUCUCUUUAGAUGUGAGGGCAAAAUAGCACUUUAUGGACUUACACAGAGGACAUCAUGUUUAAUACGGUUCCGGAAAAAUCCAGUCAGAAGUGGAUCACGGAGUUUUCACAAUAACUGCUUCUCAUGAACCGAAGCUGCGCGACGUCUCCUCCUGAAAGUUGGAUUACGUGCAUUUCUGGAUCACAGGCUGUAAGUAUUCAUGUUUAUUAUUUGCCUUUACUGUAAGUUACGUUACCGGUAACCGGAGCUUAACAUUAUGUGCUUGUAGAGCUCAGAUAUAGAUCUAUGUGUAGAGCUAAGCUUGCAAGCUAAUUGUUUUGUGUUGUAAUAAUGUAUUUCAUAAACAACGUACCAUAUUUACACACGUGUAUGUUGAAUUAUGCAGACUAUCGUUUUUAUCGAUGUUUAUUUAGACGUGUUUACAAACUUGCUAAGCUGUUCCAGCUAAACUGUUACCGGUAAAGUUUGUUCUCAUGAUCAAACUCAAGAAACUUGAAGUACAGAUGAUUUGUUUAACGUUAUAUGUAUUUUACUGUUGUUUUUACUUGAAGCUUUCUUAGAUUUUGAAACGAAGUAAACACGUAAUGUGUGUUGCUAAUGUUGGGCCAUGUAACAUGUAAUACAUUAACGUUUUAAUGAAUAGUCUAACGAUUUAUAAUCGUUGUACUCUAUUGUUAUAAUAUGUCUUUUUGACUGAAUACAUGUUUGUUUUAUUUGUCUAUAUCCUAGAUUCGCAGCUGGACACAUCCUUCUACACUGUAUGCAAACAUGCAACAUCAUUACACACAGUACUGGAGUCAGACUGGCAUAUGAGGAGCAAAGGAACCCAGACAGUAGCAUCGUUUCACAAUGUUUCAAUCACCAUCAUCAGUGGAUGCCUUUGCCGUCCGUACCCUGAGAUUUCAGAUUUGCAGCAAAAAAUUUGACUUUCCCAUUUAUUGGAAUGCUGUGCAGUUUGUACCUUGCAGCCAUCCAUUACAAUGUCACCAAGCCGUAACAAAAGCAGGAGAGGGAAAGUACAAGGCUAUGUUCCCAAAACACACAAGUGACAUACCGUAAGCAGUAAUGUUUUAUUUCAAAUACAUUCAUAAUUAAAAACUUAC